UUUAUUUUGCUUCCCCGCUUUUCAUUUCCCAUUUUUGCUUUUGUAGUACAUAGUACUUGUCCGGCUAACAUAACUUUUAUGCAUUGGGUGCAGUUAUGAAAUCGGCGGGUGACGCUUUUGAUGCCUUUUUCCAAGCGGUUGUGGGCGGUGCUUCCGGAUCUCAGGAUUCGGCGGUACCCCCGAAAGGCUCUCGGCCACCUCGAGUUCCCGGACCAAAGGAAAAAUCUCAGGGUACCUCCCACAGUGGGUCAAAGGGUACCUCUCGCUCGAAGAAGAGAAAAUUCGGGCUGGUUUCCGCUUUCCCCGAGGAGUUGCGCGAAGGUGACCUAAACCCGGCUUCCAACAAGGAGGUUUCGCACUUGGCUCGCUGUUUUUACUACUCCGCUGAAAAUGUUACCUUUGAGGUUGCUAAGGAGGCUGACAAGAUGAGUUUGAGCCAACGCUAUGGUCAAGAACUUAGGGCUACCCAAGAGGUAGACUUUCCCGGGGUACCCCGGGUGUACCCUUCAUUUUUUUUUUUUUACUUACUUAAUCCUAUUGCCAUACACAUAUAUUUAACAUGUCUUUUAUGACUCACAGACAUCUUUUCUUCUCAGCCACUGCCUUCCGGACUUCGACUCCCUUGUUGUCGCCCAGUCAGAGGUCGACAAGUUAAGGGGUGAGCUCCAAAGCAGUCAGUCUCGCAAGGAUCAGCUUGCUCGAGAGGUCAAAACUUUGCAAGAGCACAUUACUGGCCUAUCGGGAGAGAAAGCUCGGGUGGAGAAGGACCGCGAUGAGUUGAGGGUCACCAACGAUGAUCUGUUAUCCCGACAAAAGACAAUGGCGGAGGAUGCGUUCUCACUUAUCAUGAUGGAGGUGUGGAGCGUGGAUCUGGAAUUGGAGGUACCCCGCAUGCAGAAAUUUGUCAAUAAGGCCACAAUUUUGAAGACAAUUGCGGAGAGGAAGAAGUCUUCCCAAGCACGGUCGAGUACCCUUUCCGGGUCACCUAGGGUACCCCGCGCGCUUCAGCCGUUGCCUGCCUCGGAUGCCCUUACUUCGGCUGCUCAUAUUCCGGGUAUCUCGGAAUCCUCUGCUGAUCGCCCUCUGGAGACGGAUGUUGGGGAUGGCGUUCCCCCCUCGGUGUAGCCUUUUCACUGUGCUCUUGUUUUUUCGGAUCUAUCCACAUUUUUCUAUUUGGACCUUGUUUCUUUCUUUUUGGUUUCUUAGGAUAUUUUGUAUUAUUGGGACUUCUCUUUUGUUAUGAUACCAUGCCACCGAGUCUUCUUGUACUUUGCAUGCUUGUUGUUCUGCAAAUGAAUGUUUGGUUAAACUGUUAUCUCGUAAAUUUUCAGGGUACCUUUUUUUUUUUUAAAUGGGGCACCCCCGAUACCUUAUUAAAUAUUCAACAUCAGGUGCUACCUGGUGUACACAGAUCGGUGAAUUUGGUGCCUGCCCUUCUCGGCAACCAUGACGGAUUUCUCACAAAUAGGUAAUCAAAAUAUCAUCGCGACAUCUCGAUCAAACGUUGAAAGCGUAAUUGGUCCAACCAAUCACUUUCUUAUUCUUUCGAAGUUCUCUCUGAAUUUUUCAAAUAACUUACCCCUUACUUUGCUCAAGUAAGAGGACGGAGGUGUGGGUGUACUCAUACCUAAGCUGAACCUCGUGGCGCUAGGGUAUGCCGGUUUUACUCCACCCUCGGGUCCUCUUUGACCCUUUCUCUCUUUGUUUAGGUAGCUUUGUCAUGCUUCCGCAGAAAGGCUACCCCUAGGCUAUUCACUCCGUUGUCCAUCUUGGCUUUGCAUAGAUCGUCACGAUCUAGGCAUAUCAGGUACCCUGGCUGGUCCUGUGAUAAGUUAGUCAUAAUUGACAAGCGUAUGGCGAGAAUUGCAUAUAAUCAGAUGCGAGGGUAUAUUAAUGGCGAUAAAUGAAUAUAAUCCGCAUUCUAAGAUCGAAAUGGCGAAAAAUAGAGAAAGAACCCACAUCAUAUUUGUUGAGAAAGAAAAUGCAUUUAUAGAUAACGAAAGCGUUGAUCAAUACAUGACUUAGCGUUGAUCAAUACAUGACUUAGCUUUGUUACCCUGAGGAGAAUGGGAGACCGUAAGACCUCCUACCCUUUUCAUUUGAAAAUUAAAGAAACUCUAAAGUUGCAACUGACCAACAUAGGGCAUUUGGGGUACCUCAUUUGGCCUACCACCCAAAAACAUUCAAGAAAGCAAAUAACAGCAAAAGACUAGAGGUUAAGACACUGUCAUUUACUAAUAUUUCCGUAGCAUUGCAGCAUUGCAGCAUUCUAGGGGUGCCUCACGAUUGUGCCAUUCAUGUGGAGUAGCUUGUAUGCACCUGUCCCAACGGGUUUGUCGAUGCAGUAAGGUCCUUCCCAAUUUGCCCCAAAAGUACCCUCGUGUUCUGAGUUACCCUUCUCAAGAUCAAGUCCCCUUUCUUGAAGGAUCGAUGGCGCACCUUUUUUUCAUAUAAACCCGAAAUGCGAUGUUGAUAUAUGGCUGUCCUCAAUUCUGUUCUAGCCCUUUUUUCAACCACCAAAUCAAGGUUUGAAGCAACCAAGGAGGUGUUCUCGGCCUCAUCAAAGUAUUCAACCCUGUGAGAGGGUACCCCGAUUUCCACUAGGAUCACUGCGUCAGCACCGAAUGCGAGGGAAAACAGGGUCUCCCUGGUGGAGGUGUUUUGAGUAGUCCGGUAGGCCCACAGAACCCCAGGUAACUCGUCUAUCCAUGCUCCAUUUCUUUCUUCUAGCUUCUUCUUCAGGAUGCCUUUGAUAAUCUUAUUAACGGCUUUGACUUGCCCAUUAGAUUGGGGAUGGGCAGGUGUAGCAAAUUAGUUGGCUAUCCCUAGCUCCGAACAAAAACUUCAAAAAUUUUCAUUAUCGAAUUGUUUGCCAUUAUCACUAAUAAUUACAUAGGGGAUCCCAAAUCUGCAAAUGAGGUUCUUCCAAAUGAAUUCUGUGGUAUUCCUUUCUGUGAUGCUUGUUAGUGGCUCCGCUUCCGCCCACUUUGUGAAAUAAUUUACCGCCACGAUUGCAUAUUUUGCUUGCCCCCUCCCGGUAGGUAACGGCCCAAUGAGGUCCACUCCCCACAUAGCGAAGGGCCAAGGGGAAGAUAUAACUGUUAGCUUUUCUGAGGGUAGGUGGGGUACCCUGGCGAACCUUUGGCAUUUGUCACAGCUUCGUACCAUAUUCUUGGCAUCUUCCCGCAUGGUUGGCCAGUAGUACCCCUGACGGAGAGCUUUUUGCGCCAGUGAUUGUGCUCCAUAGUGAUUGCCACAAAUCCCCUCAUGUAUCUCCCUAAUGACAUACUCGGCCUUGUCGCUUCCCAAGCAUUUAAGGUAAGGAAGAGUGAACCCUCUUCUGUAUAGGGUAUCUUGGAUCAGGCAAUAUCGCGCGGCUUUAUACUUUAGUCUUUUUGCUUCACUUUUAUCUGAGGGGAGGUCUCCGUCCUUGAGGUACCUUAUGAUAGGCUCCAUCCAAAGUACCUCGUUGGAUAGUGAUCCUACUUCUAACGACUCUAGGAGAUCAAUGCUGGGGGUAGGUAUGUGUUCUGUCGUGAUGGGGCCAGCUGACUGAGCUACACCAAGGGAUGCCAUUUUUGCUAGGGUGUCGGCUUCACUGUUCUCCAGUCGGGGUACCCUUUCCACCUUAACCUCGCAAAAUUAGGACAUCAACUCUCUGGUUUUUCCGCGGUACCCCUUCAUGUUUUCCUCUUUCGCUUGAUAUUGUGCGGUAAUCUGGCUUACUACCAACUGGGAGUCGCUCUUGACGUGUACCAUUUUUACUCCCAAAGCCUUCGACAUCCUCAACCCCACUAUGAUGGCCUCGUAUUCGGCUUCGUUGUUUGAAGCCUUGAAUCCAAAUUGCAAAGCGUAACAUAUUUUCACCUUAUUCGGGUUGAUUAUAAUAACUCCCGCACCACUUCCGUGUGAGUUAGAGGAAUCGUCUACAUAGAUUUUCCAGACCUGCCCCCCUUCAUCGGUGGGUGGGGUAUCUAACAGGUAUCUCGGAUCACCUUCACCACUUGAGUCAUUGGCGAAUUCCGCAAUGAAAUCAGCGAUGGCCUGGGCUUUAAUCGUCGAACGAGGCUUGAAGAUGAUGUCGAACUCGCUUAAUUCGAGGGACCAUCGGAGAAGCCUUCCGGACAUGUCUAACUUCUGGAGGAUUUGCCGAAGGGGAAGGUUGGUGACGACUGCAAUGGUGUGAGCCUAAAAAUAUGGUCUGAGCUUUCGUGCGGAGACAACCAAUGCCAAAACGAUCUUUUCAGAGGUGGGGUACCUCUUUUCGGCAUCAACCAUAGCCUUACUAGUAUAGUAAAUAGGUUGUUGUACCCCAUUAUCAUCAUUUCGGAGUAACAUAGAGCUGGUGGCAUGCUCGGAUACGGCGAGAUACAACAGAAGCACCUCUCCCGGCUUAGGUUUGGCAAGUACUGGAGCAUUCAUGAGGUACCCCUUCAGUUCUUGAAAAGCCUCUUCGCAAUCGGGUGUCCAUUGGAGCUUCUUACCGGUCUUAAGAGCUUUGAAAAAGGGCUUACACCGGUCGGUAGCCUUGGAGAUAAAGCGGCUCAGGGUAGCUACCCAACCUGCCAAGCUUUAAACCUCCUUGAUGGUGCUUGGCGAUUUCACGUCCAGAACCGCGUGAAUUUUAUCGGGGUUGGCUUCAAUCCUCCGUUGUUGUACCAUGAACCCGAGAAACGUUCCUGAGGUGACCCCGAACGCACAUUUUUCAGGGUUAAGCAGCAUCUGGUGUCUUCUUAAAACGGUAAAGGUAUCUCUGAGGUGCCCCAGGUGUUCCCCCGUAUGCACCGAUUUGGUGAUCAUAUCGUCUAUGUACACCUCCAUGGUGCGCCCAAUUUGUUCCUUGAAAGUUUUGUUCACUAGCCGCUGAUAGGUAGCCCCAGCAUUCUUCAAACCGAACGGCAUAACCUUAUAACAGUAUAACCCACGGUUGGUGAUGAAGGCCGUUUUCUCUUGAUCGGGUUCAUACAUUGGGAUUUGGUUGUAACCGGAGAAGGCGUCCAUAAAACUAAGCAUCUCAUGCCCCGCUGUUGGAUCAACCAGCUGGCCUACCCGGGGAAGCGGGAAGCUAUCCUUGGGGCAGGACUUGUUCAAAUCGGUGAAGUCCACGCACAUACGCCACUUUCCGUUUGAUUUCUUGACAAGAACAACGUUGGAUACCCAAUCGGGGUACACUGCUUCCCGGAUAAACCUCGCUGCUAAUAGGCGGUCUACCUCUUGUUCAAUUGCAUCGUACCUCUCUUGGUUGAAGGCGCGACGCUUCUGUUUGACCGGUUUAUUAUGCGGGCUGACAUUGAGUUUGUGAUAAGAGAGGGAAGGUGGGAUACCUGGCAUAUCCGAGUGGGACCAAGCGAGUACAUCGUGGUACUCGCGUAGGAAGGUGAUGAGCUUCUCUCUUUGUUCCUCCGAGAGGUUGGAGCCUACUUUCACUGUUUUUGUCGGGUCGGUGGCACAAAUCGAGACUGAAAUAAGGUCUUCAACUGGGGUACCCCUCUUCUGAUCAUAGCUUGGUAGUCCAUUUGAGGUGCUGCAGCUUCUAGCGUCACUGGUGGAAUGAACUUUCGGGUGCCCGAGAUCCAACCGCCCUAAGUAUUGCGUGGGCUAGAUCCUCGAAACGCUUGUGAGAAAUAGGUUCUUCUUCUUGGCGAACACCCGUCGAUUGCUUGAUACCCUUGCCCUUGCUGAUGCGGGCUACCCUUCUUGCGGGAUCACUAUCUUUACUGUUGCUAUCAUCUCUCAUCCUUGUAGGAUCUGCCAUUAAACCUUCAGGAGGUAUGUCGGGUGCCAUAUACUGGAGUACACACAACAACUAGUUUGGUAACCGCGGUGGAGGCUUUUUGUGCGCUCCCCACAGACGGCGCCAAUUGUUUUCAACAGAUUUUGGGGUAAGAAAAUCUAAAAUCUAUCUUAAACAAUGAAUUUAUAUUUUUGGGGGAGACGGGGUACCUCACUGGUUUGUUGUGUGCAGUACGGUGUAUCUGAAAUUUGGGGGAGGUGAGAAGGGGAGAGAGAGUGGUAAUAAUGGUGAAAUGUCUAAACCAAGAGAGAUGUCCUUCAAAAUGAGGUACACGCCUGCAAAACAAUGAAAUAGAGGUUAGAGGUGAAGCCGGGGUACCCCGGCGUUCAUACUGCGAUGCUCAAGUUAGCAAACUCAAGCUUUUAUGGCAAAGAGAGCUGGCUAGGCCUUUGUAAAUUAGGGUUUAAGGUUGAAGAAAACCUAUUUUUUUGGAGUGUGAGUGUUAAUGGUGAAUGGGAGCCUCCUGGCGAAUGAAACCUAGGCGCCUUUAUAUAUGGAGUACCUCAGCUGCCACGUGGCGUACCCUUUUUAGCUAACUUCCUUUUACCUCUUUAUGAUUUUUGGGCCGUUAUGUGCAUGUUCGCGGCGUAUCUCAUCCUUUGGAAACGUGGCGCACAAUGGAGAGUGGUCCAGGGUACCUCUGCAGUAGCUGUUGGGUAGGCGGUUGGGGACCACUGUCCUUGGGACAAUGUCCUUCAUUUUGGCAUAGGUGGCAGGCGGCUGUCCUUCCUUUUAGCACAUCAUUUUUUAAUCCUAAUUCUGACAAAAUCGAAUAAUAUCUUUUAGGAGGUGGAGACGUUUCUCAUGGCGGAUAUUUUUGGAGGAUUCUCUUGCAUCCGUUCUGCCGGAUACCUCGAGUUACGUGGGAUACCUCUUAUUAUGCGGGAUACCCCUAUUUAUGUGGGGUACCUCAUAUUAUAUGGGGUACCUGUUAACAUAAAUAUGUUAAUAAUAUUGAUUUUGAUGAUAACAAAUUUUAAAUGUAUUUUGACAAAAAUAUUGGAGCUAUUUCUUAAUAAACGAAAACCCUUUUAAUCAUUGCCUUAUUUCUUCAUAAAAGAUGGAUUUUCAAAUUAGAAAUAAAUUCUCUGCAAAAACUUGUUUAAAACUGCAAUUCUGGUCAUAAACGGUGAACCGUUUAUUUUAAACGGUUAACCGAUUAAAGGCAGAGAGUAACACAUUUCCUAAACCUCUAACCGUUUAUGGAAAACGGAAAACACAAUAGAUAGGGAGGUUACUGGAAAUUAACGGUAAACCGUUUUCUUUUAAACGGUUAACCGAUUAUCACCAGAGAGCAACAUAUUUGCCUAAGCUCUAGCCGUUUAUGCUUAACGGAAAACACCCAAGAUGAGAAGGCUACUGGAAACUAACGGUGAACCGUUUAUUUUUAAACGGUUAACCGAUAACGUCCAGAAUUGAAGGUUGUCCUCCUCUGGCAUUGAUUAACGAAAACUGAUAAGGCUAAAUUAUUGUGCAGGUUACUGGAGCCAAACGGCAAACCGUUUAGUUUUAAACGGCCAACCGAUAAUACCCAAAGAAGCCACUUUAUGCAAUCCCUUAAUCGCUAAAUGAAAACGGAUUAACUGAUGUUCAUUUUUCAGGUUACUGGAGACAAUCGGCCAACCGUUUAUUUCAAACGGUUAACCGAUAAUAUCCAGAAACGUUACUUCAUGCAAGUCCUUAACCGUUUAGUGUAAACGGAUAACAAAUACUCAUCUUGCAGGUCUCUGGAAGUUAACGGCGAAAGGGCAAACAUAAACGGCAAACUGUUUAUUUGAAAUCUGGCCCAACGGUAACUUUGACCAGCCUAAACGGUUAACCGUUUAUGUUUAACGGUGAACCAUUUUCUGUCCGAUAGUUUGUAACGGCUAGAUUUUCGGCUCCAAAUAUAAAUAAGCUCAUUCAAAUUCAAAGAAGAUUGAUCACAACACAACCAUUUGAGCUAAUAUUCGAGAAUACAAUCUUCAUAGAGCUUAGAACACAUUCUUGCUUCAUCUAUUCACAUAUUAAGCAUCAUUGAGUAAUCUUAUAUAUUGUGAGAGGCAAAACAAUUUGUAAUCUUUUACUUUGAGUGAUUGUAAGUGUUGGGAUACACUUGGGUUAAGAGAUUGGGGAUAAUCUCUUGUUGUAAAGGUCCAUUGACACAUUGGAAGUCAAGUGUAAGCAUUUGAAGCCUUGGAGGCUUGCUUAGUGGAAUCCUCAAGCCCGGAAAGCUUGGAGGCGUGGACGUAGGCAAGGUUGGCCGAACCACGUAAAAAUCUCGUGUUUGAAUCUCUCUUCCCUUAUCUUUUUAUAUUGUGAUCAUCUUAAUUGUUAUUGCUUUGAAUUUGAGUUAUAAUUGCAUUAAGAUUUUCUUUAAUAUUGAAUAAUUUUUUAGAAUCCCAAUUCACCCCCCCUCUUGGGUUGCUUACUUGUAUUUCAGUACCUCUAUUUGUGUGGGGUAUCUCUAAUUGUGCAGGGUACCUCAAAUCACGCCGGGCACCUCGGAUUGUACGGGGUACCUCAGAUUCUGCUGGAAUCAUUCCAUUGGUCGACACGUGGCGCUUUACUGCCUUUCCUAUUUUUUCCUCAAACAACAACAAUGAAGAAAGGUCAGAACCAAGAAAAAAUCCUUCUAAAUGAGUUUCACGCUUGCAAAAGAGUGAAAUAGAGGUUAGAGGUUGUUUUCGAUAGAUUUUGGGGUAGGAAGAGCCAAACCUAUUUAGAACAAUGAAUUUGUAUUUUUGGGACAGACAGGGUACCUCUCUGGUUUGUUGUGUGCGGUGUAUCUGAAAUUCUGGGGGGGCGUAAAGGGUAGAGGGAGUGAUAGCAAUGGAGAAAGGUCAUAACCAAGAAAAAUGUCAUUCAAAAUGAGCUUCACGCCUGUAAAAUAAUGAAAUAAAGGUUAGAGGUGAAGCCGGGGUACCCUGGCGUUCACACUCCGACACUCAAGUUAGCAAACUCAAGUUUUUUUAUGGUCAAGAGAGCUUGUCAGCCCUCUGUAAAUCAAGGUUUAAGGCUGAAGAAAACCAAUUGUUUUCGACAGAUUUUAGGGUAGGAAAAGCCAAAAUAUAUCUUGAACAAUGAAUUUAUAUUUUUGGGGGAGAUGGGGUACCUCACUAGUUUGUUGUACGUGGUGCGGUGUAUCUGAAAUUUGGGGGAGGUGAGAAGGGUAGAGGGAGUGGUAACAAUGGUGAAAGGUCAAAACCAAGAGGGGUGUCUUUCAAAAUGGGCUUCACGCCUGCAAAACAGUGAAAUAGAGGUUAGAGGUGAAGCCAGGGUACCCCGGCGUUCACACUCCGUCGCUCAAGUUAGCAAACUCAAGCUUAUGUGGCAAAGAGAGCUGGCUAGCCCUCUGUAAAUUAGGGUUUAAGGUUGAAGAAAACGUCUUUUUUGGAGUGUGAGUGUUAAUGGUGAGUGAGAACAUGAUGGAGAAUGAAACCUAUGCGCCUUUAUAUAUGGAGUACUUCAGUUGCCACGUGGCAUACCCUUUUUGGCUAACGUCCUUUUACCUCUUUAUAAUUUUUGGGCCGUUAUCUGCAUGUUCGCGGCGUAUCUCAUAUUUUGAAAACGUGGCGCGCGCUAGAGAGUGGUCCAGGGUACCUCUGCAGUAGCUGUCGGGUAGGCGGCUGGGGACCACUAUCCUUGGGACAGUGUCAUUCACUUUUGGCAGAGGUGGCAGGUGGCUGUCCCUCCUUUUAGCACGUUGUUUUUUAUUCCUAAUUCUAAAAAAAUCAAAUAAUAUAUUUUAUGAGGUAGAGACGUUUCUCACGGUGGAUAUUUUCGGAGGAUUCUCUUACAUCUGUUCUGCCGUGUACCUCGAGUUACGCGGGGUACCUCUAAUUGUAUGGGGUACCUCAAAUCACGCCGGGCACCUCGGAUUGUCUGAGGUACCUCAGAUUGUGCUGGAAUCAUUCUAUUGGUUGACACGUGGCGCGCUAUUACCUUUCCCAUUUUUCCCUCAAACAACAUCCCCCUAGUUUCUUUUUUGUGAGAAGUAUUGGAGGCAAAAGAAACUCAUUGUAUGAGUGACACGUGGCGACGCGGCUGGACCAGGGGGUACCUUGCUUCGUUUCUUCCCUUGACUAAACUUUGUGUACUUCGAACUAAAAAUCUUCUCUUUGUCUUUUCUUUUUCCCGUUUUUUUUUUACGACGAGAACGAACAGUUGUCUUCAUGUCUCUCUUCUUUUUAUUAGGAAGUGGCAGCCGUCUGACAUGCAGUUUGAAUUUUGAAAAUACCAAUCUCACAAAAACAUCCCUGAACUCCUUUCUUGGGCAGCGUGUUCUGUCAGGUUGAAUUAAAAACUCCUGACGUGUGUCAAUCUUCUCUCAUUUAUUUUGAAAAUCCCCAAACGAUCUCCCAAAAAUUGAUUAUUUCCAGUACCCUUUUUCUUUCAUAAUUUCGUCUCUUCUCCUAACUACAUCGACAUUGCUCACAGGUAAAAAAAAAAAUUUUCUUUACUUUUUUUUUUUACGCUCGUUCAUCUUCCCCUGGGCUUUAUUCUCCCUUUACUCUUUUUCUUUUAUUUCCUUCUUCUUCUGUUUUCUUUCUUUCCCAAUUUCUUUUCUUUCUCCAUUUUCUUUCUUCCUUUUCUUUCUUUCUUCUUUCCCUCUUUUCUUUCUUCCUUUUCCUUUUUUCUUCUUUCUCUUUCUCUCUCGGCCGGCGUUGAUCUGGUACGUUUUCCAGCGUGGAUCUCGGCUACUGCAGUGGCGGUUUUGGGCUCCAGAUCUGGUUGGUUUAAGGCGGUUUUUAGGCGGCUCACGGCAGGAUCUCGGUCCGGCGAUACACACGGUAAUCCCCCUCCUUGUGUCUUCAUUUUAUCCUCACUUUCUCUCUUUUCUUUCUCUUUUUCUUCUUUCUUUCUCGUUUUGGCCGGCGUUUUUCUUGGAGAUGUCCAGCUGUUUUCAACUGAUUUUGGGGUAGGAAAAGCCAAAAUCUAUCUUGAACAAUGAAUUUAUAUUUUUGAGGGAGAUGGGGUACCUCACUAGUUUGUUGUGUGCGGUGCGGUGUAUCUGAAAUUUGUGGGAGGUGAGAAGGGGAGAAAGAGUGGUAACAAUGGUGGAAGGUCAGAAACAAGAGAGGUGUCCUUCAAAAUGAGCUUCACGCCUGCAAAACAGUGAAAUAGAGGUUAGAGGUGAAGCCGGGGUACCCCGGCGUUCACACUCCGACGCUCAAGUUAGCAAACUCAAGCUUUUAUGGCAAAGAGAGCUAGCUAGCCCUCUGUAAAUUAGGGUUUUAAGGUUGAAGAAAACCUCUUUUUUAGAGUGUGAGUGUUAAUGGUGAGUGAGAGCCCCCUUUAGAAUGAAACCUAGGCACCUUUAUAUAUGGAGUACCUCAGCUGCCACGUGGCAUACCCUUUUUGGCUAACGUCCUUUUACCUCUUUAUAAUUGUUUUUGGGCCGUUAUUUGCAUGUUCGCGGCGUAUCUCAUCUUUUGGAAACGUGGCGCGCGCUGGAGAGUGGUCCAGGGUACCUCUGCAGUAGCUGUCGGGUAGGCGGCUAGGGACCACUGUCCUUGGGACAGUGUCCUUCACUUUUGGCAGAGGUAGCAGGCGGCUGUCCCUCCUUUUAGCACGUCGCUUUUGAUUCCUAAUUCUGACAAAAUCAAAUGAUAUCUUUUAGGAGGUGGAGACGUUUCUCAUGGUGGGUAUUUUCGGUGGAUUCUCUUGCAUUCGCUUUUCCGGAUACCUCGAAUUACAUGGGGUACCCCCUAUUACGCGGGGUACCCCUAUCUGUAUGGGGUACCUCUAUUUGUAUGGGGUACCUCUAUUUGUGUGGGAUACCUCUAAUUGUGCAGGGUACCUCUAUUUAUACGGGGUACCUCAAGUCAUGCCGGGCACCUCGAAUUAUGCAGGGUACCUCCGAUUGUGCUGAUAUCAUUCCAUUGGCUGACACGUGGCGCUCUAUUACCUUUCCUACUUUUCCCUCAAACAACAUCCCCCUAGUUUCUUUUUGGCGAGAAGUAUUGGAGGCAAAAGAAACUCAUUGUAUGAGUGACACGUGGCGACGCGGCCGGACCGGAGGGUACCUUGCUUAGCUUCUUCCCUUGACUAAACUUUGUGUACUUCAAACUAAAAAUCGCCUCUUUGUCUUUUCCUUUUCCCGUUUUUUUUUUUUUUUUUUUGACGAUGAGAAAGAACAGUUGUCUUCAUAUGUCUCUCUCCUUUUUCUUGGGAAGUGGCAGCCGUCUGACACGCAGUUUGAAUUUUGAAAAUACAAAUCUCACUCAGACAUCCCUGAACUCCUUUCUUGGGCAACGUGUUCUGUCAGGUUGAAUUUAAAACUCCUGACGUGUGUCAAAAUUUUGAAAAUCCCCAAACGAACUCCAAAAAAUUGAUUAUUUCCAGUAGCCUUUUUUUUUUUUUUUUUUUUAAGCCUCGUUCAUCUUCCCUAGGCUUUAUUCUCCCUUUACUCUUUUUCUUUUAUUUCCUUCCUCUUCCAUUUUCUUUCCUUCCCAUUCUCUCUUCUUUCUCCAUUUUCUUUCUUUCUUCUUUCUUCUUUCCCUUUUUUCUUUCUUCCUUUUCUUUCUUUCUUCUUUCUUCUCUCGGCCGGCGUUCUUCUCGAGUGUUUUCCGGCGCGUUUUCUCAGCUGCUGCAGUGGUGGUUUCGGUUCCAGAUCUAAUCGGCUCAACGCGGUUUUCCGGCGGCUCACGGCGAGAUCCAAACCGGCGGUACCGCGGUAAUCCUCCCCCUUCCUUGUUUCCUCAUUUUUGUCUUACUUCCUCUCUCCUCUUUCUCCUUCUCUCUCUCUUCUUUCUCUCCUUUUUUGCGAUUUCCAGCGUCGGAUUUGAUGGUUGCGGCCAUGGCAGCCGAUUCUUCUUGGUGGCUGCAGCUUCUUGGUUUUUUUUUUUUUUUUUUUUUUGGCUGGCGUUCUUCUCAGAGUUUUCCGGCUUUUUUGUGGCCGCAGCUGCAGCGGUUAGCGUCGGUUCGGUGGCUGUUGUUCCCUCCCGCGUCGGUUUGCUGCAGCUUCUUCAUUUUUUUUUUAUUUGCUUCUCCCUUUUUUUUUUUUUUUUUGGCCGGCGCUCUCCCUUGGUAGUUUCCGGCGUUCUUUUUGCGAUCUCCGUCGUCGGUUCUCGGUGGUUGCCGCCAUGGCAGCCGGCGUUGGUUCUUGGUUGCAGCCCUUCAUUCUUCAUUAUAUUUAUUUACUUAUUUAUAAAUAAGUACAUAUAUUUAAGUUUAUUUUUAUUUUUAUAUUUGCAUAUUUUUACUCACUGUUUUUGGUUGCCUGCAGCUUCGUCUUGCCACGAUUUUCAAUCCCGAUCUACUGAGUUGGUGAACCAUAGGUAUCCCUCAUCAUUUCUCCUCCUUUGGCGCAUUUACAGUGGCGCUAUUUUGCAUACUCUGAGAAAAAUUUAUUUUUGGUUUUUUUUGUUGUGUUUGUUUGUUUUUUUUUUGUUGGUUGGUGUUUGCAUUUGGUGGUUGAUGUGCGGUGGAUGGUGCUUGGUAUGGACAUGUUGCUGUUUGGGAAACGUGUGGUUUGCUGGAUGUGUCGUUGGGGGCUUGUGGAUGUGUUGUUGGGGGAAAGUAGAUGGGUAAGAAACACACGGGACCCCCGAUGAAGCGACGUAAAGUUGGGGCUAGUAGGGUUGACAGCCUUUCUACGGGUUUCCCUUCCCACAUCUCCAUUAGCGAGGGGGAUCGGUCCCCUCCUAGUUCCUCCAAGAGUUGUAAUUCUCGUUCUGAGCCCCCUCCCCCUAGGAGUACCCCUCGUGUCAGCCCACGCUUUCCUAGUAAACGGCCUACCCCCCAUCCUCGAAAGAAGGGUAAGCCAACCAAGCCUAAGGUUCCAGCUCGUUCCUUGAUCCAGCCGCCUAAGUCUCCCCCUGCCACACCUUCAAAAUCUAGUAACCCUUUUUCCCUAGGCAUUAGGAGGGAUAUUUUGGGGGACUUAGAACAAAUUAGAGCCAAAUACAAUAUUCCUCCGUCUGUCCAGCUUAGGGUACCCCAUAUAGAUGAGCGACCCGAGUGUCCAAAGUCUGAUGGGAUUGCUCUCCAUAUCGACCUCUUCGAUUUAGGACUCCGCCUACCCCUCUAACCAUUCUUUAUGAAAAUGUUUAGUUAUUUGGGGGUAGCUCCUGGGCAGCUGUCCCUUCCAGGGUGGAGGACACUGACGGGCUUACAUGUGUUAUAGUUGGAGGUCGUGAAGCGCGACAUUUCUGUUCAGGAGUUGAUGGGCCUUUACCAAUUCAAGAAGCCUAAGGGUCCCGGCAUUGCUUACUUCUCCCCCUGGGGUGAUCAUGGCCACAUCGUUGAGGGGAACCCCGCCUUGAAGAAGGGUUACCGAAAGGGAUGGUUUGUCGCUGAGGGUAGGUGGGGGACAGAGACUCUAGGUGAGAAGGGCGACCCCGUGGAGGUUCCUCAUUCCCUCAACGUAGACUGUAAGUAUCUCCCUUACUUAUGGUUCUUUAUCGGAAUCUUUCGCCUGAAUGUCUCGCUAACCUUGAGUUCUUUAUGCUUUCGCAGGUGUGACAUGGGCUAAAGGAUCAUGCCCAGUUCAGGAGGUGGGGAGAGAGGUGAAGAAGUUUGUGGACAGGCUUCGAGGUGCACAGAGGGGUAGUGAUGUGCUGGAGGAGAGCCGAUUAUGGAGAGCGGGGCUGAUUGACCGAAGUCCUACACCUGCUCCUGGGGGUGACUCAUGUAUGAUUUGGGUGUCGGGGGUAUCCUAUUAUUACUUAUGGGACUGGGGUACCCCAUUAUCAUUGCAUUCUUCGUUUCGCUUCCCCUCUUUCCUUUUCCCAUUUUUUACUUUUGCAGUACUUAGUACUUGUCCAGCUAACAUAACUUUUGUGCAUUGGGUGCAGUCAUGGAAUCAACGGGUGACGCUUUUGACGCCUUCUUCCAAGCGGUAGUGGGCGGUGCUUCCGGAUCUCAGGAUUCGGCGGUACCCCCGAAAGGCUCCCGACCUCCUCGAGCUCCCGGUCCAAAGGGGAAAUCUCAGGGCACCUCCCACAGCGGGUCGAAGGGUACCCCUCGCUCGAAGAAGAGAAAAUUCGGGCUGGUUUCUACUUUCCCUGAUGAGUUACGUGAGGGUGACUUAGACCCGGCUUCUAACAAGGAGGUUUCGCACUUGGCUCGCCACUUUUACUACUCUGCUGAAAAUGUUACCUCCGAGGUUGCUGAAGAGGCUGACAAGUUGAGCUUGAGCCAGCGUUACGGUCAAGCACUUAGGGCUACCCAAGAGGUAGGCUUUCCCGGGGUACCCCGGGUGUACUCUUCAUCAUUUUCUUUUUACUUAUUUAAUCUUUUUUGUCAUACACAUAUAUUUAACAUGUCUUUCAUGACCCGCAGGCAUCCUUUCUCCUUAGCCACUGCCUUCCGGAUCUUGACUCCCUUGUUGCCGCACAUUCAGAGGUCGACAAGUUAAGGAGUGAGCUUCAAAGCCAUCAAUCUCGUGAGGAUCAGCUCGCUCGAGAAGUUAAAACUCUGCAAGAACGCAUUGCUGGCCUGUCGGGAGAGAAAGCUAGGGUGGAGAAGGAUUGUGAGGAGUUGAGGGCCACCAACGGAGAUCUGCUAUCUCGACAAAAGACGAUGGCGGAGGAUGCAUUCUCACUCAUCAUGACGGAGGUGUGGAGUAUGGAUCCGGAGUUGGAGGUACCCUGCGUGCAGAAAUUUGUCAACAAGGCUACGAUUCUGAAGACGAUUGCAGAAAGAAAGAAGUCUUCUCAGGCACGGUCGGGUACCCCUUCUGGGUCACCUAGGGUACCCCGUGCGCUUCAGCCGUUGCCUGCCUCGGAUGCCCCUACUUCGGCUGCUCAUAUUCCGAGUACCUCGGAGUCCUCUGCAGAUCGCCCUCUGGAGACGGAUGUUGGGGAUGGCGUUCCCCCUUCGGUGUAGCCUUUUCAUUGUGCCCUUGUUUUUCGGAUCUAUCCAUAUUUUUUUGUUUGGACCUUGUUUCUUUCCUUUUGGUUUCCUGGGAUAUUUUGUAUGAUUGAGACUUCACUUUUGUUAUGAUACUAUGCCACCGAGCCCUCUUAUACUUUGCAUUCUUGUUAUUUUGCAAAUAAAUGCUUGGCUAAACUGUUAUCUUGUAAAUGCUUAGGGUACCUCUCAUUUUUUUGAAAUGGGGUACCCCUGGUACCUUAACAACGAUUCAGCAUCAGGCGCCUGCUGGUUUACACAGAUCGGCGAGUUUGGUGCAUGCCCUUCUCGGCAACCUUGGCGGAUUUCCCACAAAUAGGUCAUCAAAACAUCAUCGCGACAUCUCGAUCAAAAAUUGAAAGUGCGUAAUUGGUCCAACCAAUCAAUUUCUUAUUCUUUCGAAGUUCUCUCCGAAUUUUUGAAUAGCUUACCCCCUACUUUGCUCAAGUACGAGGACGGAGGUGUGGGUGUUCUCAUACCUAAGCCGAACCUCGUGCCGCUAGGGUAUGACGGUUUUCCUUCACCCUCGGGUCCUCUUUGACCCUCCCUCUCUUUGUCUAUGUAGCUCGGUCCUGCUUCCGCAGAAAGGCUAUCCCUGGGCUGUUCCCUCUGUUGCCCUCUUGGCUUUACAUAGAUCGUCAGAAAGGCUAUCCCUGGGCUGUUCCCUCUGUUGCCCUCUUGGCUUUACAUAGAUCGUCACGAUCUUGGCAUAUCAGGUACCCUGACUGGUCCUGUGUUUGGUUAGUCAUAAUUGACAAGCGUAUGGCGAGAAUUGCAUAUAACCAGAUGCAAAGGUAUAUUAAUGGUGAUAAGUGAAUAUAAUCCGUAUUCUAAGAUCGAAGUGGCGAAAAAUAAAGGAGAUAUCAUACUUGCAAAGAAAGAAAAUGCAUUUAUAGAUAACGAAAGCGUUGAUCAGUACAUGACUUAGCUUUGUUAUCCUAAGGAGAAUGGGAGACCGCAAGACCUCCUACUCUUUUCAUUUGAAAAUUAAAGAAACUUCUAAAUUUGCAACUGACCAACAUAGGGCAUUUGGGGUACCCCAUUUGGCCUACCACCCAAAAACAUUAAAGAAAGCAUUAAAUAAAGCAAAAGACUAAAGGUUAAGACAUUGUCCUUUAGUAAUAUUUCCGUAGCAUUGCAGCAUUCCAGGGGUGCCUCACUAUUGUGCCAUCCAUGUGGAGUAGCCUGUAUGCACCUGUCCCAACGAGUUUGUCGAUGUGGUAGGGUCCUUCCCAAUUCGCCCCAAAAGCGCCUUCGCAGGAUACCCUAGUGUUCUGAGUUACCCUUCUCAAGACCAAGUCUCCUUUCUUGAAGGAUCGAGGGCGUACCCUUUUUUCAUAUAGACCCGAAAUGCGAUGCUGAUAUAUGGUUGUCCUCAAUUCUGCUCUUGCCCUUUUUUCAGCCACCAAAUCAAGGUUUGAAGCAACCAAGGAGGUGUUCUCGGCCUCAUCAAAGUAUUCAACCCUGUGAGAGGGUACCCCAAUUUCUGCUGGAAUCACUGCGUCAACACCGAAUGUGAGGGAAAACGGGGUCUCCCUGGUGGAGGUGUUUUGAGUAGUUCGGUACGCCCACAGUACCCCAGGUAGCUCGUCUACCCAUGCUCCCUUUCUUUCUUCUAGCUUCUUCUUCAGGAUACCUUUGAUAAUCUUGUUAACGGCUUCGACUUGCCCAUUAGAUUGGGGAUGGGCAGGUGUAGCAAAUCGGUUGGCGAUCCCCAACUCCGAACAAAAGCUUCGAAAUUUUUCAUUAUCGAAUUGCUUGCCGUUAUCACUGACAAUUGCAUAGGGGAUUCCAAAUCUGCAAAUGAGGUUCUUCCAAAUGAAUUCGGUGGUUUUCCUUUCUGUGAUGCUUGUUAGUGGCUCCGCUUCCGCCCAUUUUGUAAAAUAAUCUACUGCCACGAUUGCAUGUUUUGCUUGUCCCCUCCCGGUAGGUAACGGGCCAAUGAGGUCCACUCCCCACAUAGCAAAGGGCUAAGGGGAAGAUAUAACUGUUAGCUUCUCUGGGGGUAGGUGGGGUACCCUGGCGAACCUUUGGCAUUUGUCACAGCUUCGUACCAUAUUCUUGGCAUCUUCCCGCAUGGUUGGCCAGUAGUACCCCUGACGGAGAGCUUUUUGCGCCAGUGAUUGUGCUCCAUAGUGAUUGCCACAAAUCCCCUCAUGACAUACUCGGCCUCGUCGCUUCCCAAGCAUUUAAGAUAAGGAAGAGUGAACCCUCUUCUGUAUAGGGUACCCUGGAUCAAGCAAUACCGGGCAGCUUUAUACUUUAAUCUUCUUGCUUCACUUUUAUCGGAGGGGAGGUCUCCGUCCUUGAGGUACCUUAUGAUAGGCUCCAUCCAAAGCCCCUCGUUGGACAGCGAUCCUACUUCCAAUGGCUCUGGGAGACCAACACUGGGUGCGGGUAUGUGUUCUGUUGUGAUGGGGCCAGAUGAUUGGGCUACCCCAAGGGAUGCCAUUUUCGCUAGGGUGUUGGCUUCGCUGUUCUCCAGUCGGGGUACCCGUUCCACCUUAACCUCACAAAAUUGGGACAUGAACUCUCUGGUUUUCCCGAGGUACCCUUUCAUGUUUUCCUCUUUCGCUUGAUAUUGUGCGGUAAUUUGGCUUACCACCAACUGGGAGUCGCUCUUGACGUGUACCCUUUUCGCUCCCAAAGCCUUCGACAUCCUCAGCCCCGCUAUGAUGGCCUCGUAUUCGGCUUCGUUGUUUGAAGCCUUGAAUCCAAAUUGCAAGGCGUAGCAUAUUUUCACCUUAUUCGGGUCGAUUAUAAUAACUCCUGCACCACUUCCGUGUGAGUUAGAGGAACUGUCUACAUAUAUUUCCCAGACCUGUCCCCCUUCAUCGGUGGGUGGGGUAUCUAACAGGUAUCUCAAGUCACCUUCACCACUUGAGUCAUUGGCGAAUUCCGCAAUAAAAUCAGCGAUGGCCUGUGCUUUAAUCGCCAAACGAGGCUUGAAAAUGAUGUCGAACUCACUUAAUUCAAGGGACCAUCGGAGAAGCCUUCCGGACAUGUCUAACUUCUGGAGGAUUUGCUGAAGGGGAAGGUUGGUGACGACCGCAAUGGUGUGAGCCUGAAAAUAUGGUCUGAGCUUCCGUGCGGAGACCACCAAUGCCAAAAUGAUCUUCUCAGAUGUGGGGUACCUCUUUUCGGCAUCAACCAUAGCCUUACUAGUGUAGUAAAUAGGUCGUUGUACCCCAUUAUCAUCCUCUCGGAGUAACACAGAGCUGGUGGCAUGCUCAGAUACGGCGAGAUACAACAAAAGCACCUCUCCCGGCUCAGGUUUGGCAAGUAGUGGAGCAUUCACGAGGUACCCCUUCAGUUCUUGGAAAGCCGCAUAUGGUGUUUUCUCAAAACGGUAAAGGUAUCUCUGAGGUGCCCCAAGUGUUCCCCCGCAUGCACCGAUUUGGUGAUCAUAUCGUCUAUAUACACCUCCAUGGUGCGCCCGAUUUGUUCCUUGAAAAUUUUGUUCACCAGCCGUUGAUAGGUAGCCCCGGCAUUCUUCAAACCGAACAGCAUAACCUUAUAAUAGUAUAAUCCACGGUUGGUGAUGAAAGUCGUUUUCUCUUGAUCGGGUUCAUACAUCAGAAUUUGGUUGUACCCGGAGAAGGCGUCCAUAAAACUAAGCAUCUCAUGCCCCGCUGUUGCAUCAACCAGCUGGUCCACCCGAGGAAGCGGGAAGCUAUCCUUGGGGCAGGACUUGUUCAAAUCAGUGAAGUCCACACACAUGCGCCACUUUCCGUUUGAUUUCUUGACUAGAACAACGUUGGAUACCCAAUCAGGGUACAUUGCUUCCCGGAUAAACCUUGCUGCUAAUAGGCGGUCUACCUCUUGUUCAAUUGCAUCAUACCUCUCUUGGUUGAAGGCGCGACGCUUCUGUUUGACCGGUUUAUUAUGCAGGCUGACAUUGAGUUUGUGACAAGAGAGGGAAGGUGGGAUACCCGGCAUAUCCGAGUGGGACCAAGCGAAUACAUCGUGGUGCUCGCGUAGGAAUGUGAUGAGCUUCUCUCUUUGUUCCUCUGAGAGGUUGGAGCCUACUUUCACUGUCUUUGUUGGGUCGGUGGAACAAAUCGAGACUGAAAUAAGGUCUUCAACUGGGGUACCCCGCUUUUCAUCUUUCAAUAUUCGGGGAUCCAAAGGUGCCUCAACUUCACAUUUGGGCUCCUCCUGGUCCCCGUGGGGUACCCUCGAGCUAUCCCCCGUAACUGCUUCUACCCCCAUUGGUGAAGACUCCAACUGUUUUCGUGGGUGGGCUACCUGAGGAGAUUUUUUGAGUACUGCUCUCCGCUGUCUAGCCAGUGCUCGCUUUAAAGGGGAAGGUGUGGGCUGGCUGCCGCUGGGGUACCCCUUCAUUGGUGGAUCGGAAGCUAUUUGGUAAGUAACUUUGGAGGCCACGGAAUAACAUCCACAAGCCGAUUGCUGGUCCCCUUUAAUGGUGAUAACUUCUUGGGCGGCCGGGACUUUCAUGGCGAGGUAGUGCAUGGAUACCACCGCUUUAGUUGCUACUAAGAACGGCCUACCCAAUAUAAUAUUGUAGGCACCCGGGUGAUCUACAAUAAGAAAAUCAAUCAUAUGAACAACACGGUGAGGUACCUUACCAAGUGUAACGGGCAGCGUAAUGAUGCCUUUUGGUAUAACCAUAUCUCCGGCGAACCCAAUAAGAGGCGCAGCAUAUAGGGUGAUCUUUGGCGACUCAAUCAAUAGUUGAUCCAAGGCGCUUUUGAAAAUGAUGUCAACGGAGCUACCGGUAUCUACGAGAGUUCUUGCUACCUUACCAGUGGCAACCUUCAACGUAAUUACGAAGGCAUCGUCGUGGGGGUACGAGAUGCCCUCCGCAUCUUUUUCUGUAAAAAGGAUAGGCGGGGGAUGGUGGGGUACCUUCGGUGUACCCCAUUCAUUAAGGUUGACUUCUCUGCCUAUAUUGGUGGUUAUCGACAACGAUCUACCAUAGCCUUUGAUAACCCUCCUAGAUUGGCCCGCUAAAGUCGGUCCGCCCAUGAUCAUCCGGACAUACACGCCUUUCUUGUGUCCAGGGGGUACCUCUCAUUCAGGACUGCCAUCAGCUACCCGCUGGCCCUUAUCCUGCUCCGCAGAUUUCUGAGCUUCUCUCAUGCCAGCAACAAAUUCUUUGAGGUACCCGCUGAGAAUCAAAGAUUCAAUUUCCUCCCGCAAGGUGAAACUCUCGGCUGUGCUGUGACCAAAGUCCUCAUGGAACUCGCAAUACUUCAGGCUAUGCUUCAUGUUGGGGUACUUCUUCAUUGGCUUAGGAGGACGGAGGAGACCGCUAUCCCGAAUAUGGUAGAAGAUCUGCUCUGGGGAUCGAUUCAGUGGGUGGUAAGAUUCGUACCGAGGCUUCGGUGGUGGCUCUCGCUGAUCCGGUGGUGGCGAUCUUGGAGGUUGGGGUACCCUUGAGGUACCCUGAGGGUUAUAUCCUCGUCCCCGCAGGGCAGCCCGUGGAGGGCUCCGUGCUCGGGGUACCCGCGGUAUUGGGGCCUCCACCCUCUUGGGCUUCUCCUUGUUCUUUGUAACAUCGACCCUAUCCUCUUGGCGCUUCAGUUGACAUUUUUCGUCCAUCUCCACCUGCUGCAAUGCCCGGGAACUGGCUUCCCCAUAUGAAAGUGGGCGCUUCUUUUGAAAAGAACGCCAUAACUUGCCUAACCUCAAAUUUUUCUCAAAAUGGGUCAAUGUGUAUUGGUUUCCAAAUGCUCCGAUUCGCAGCACCUCUUGGUGGAAACGACUCACGUACUCCGCCAAAGGCUCGGCUUCCCCUUGCUUGAUAAAGGCAAGUUUGGAGGCUACCCUAUCUUGAGUGGAGGCGUAGGGAAACUCUUUAGUAAAUUCGGAUAGCAAUUGGUGUAGGGAAGAUAUGCUACCCACUUUCAAAGACCGAAACCACAACUUUGCGAGGCCCGUGAGUGUGUGUGUAAACAUCCUACACAUGGCGCUCUCAUCUACACCCUUGAUAAGCAUUUGGUCGCGGUAUAGCUCAGCAUGCUCCGAGGGAUCAGUGGUACCCGAGUAUUGGGGUAUCUGAGGCAUGGCGAACGCCUCGGGGAGAGCUGCCUUCCGAAUCUCCAUAGUGAAUGGCGAUUGGUAGGUCAUUGGCGUUGGAGCAGCUGUGAUGUUUUGCUUCUCGGAGAGGAGCUUCACUUGGGCUUCCAGAUUCUCCAUUUUUUCCACAAGUUCGUGGGGUACCCUAGGGGUACCCGAUGAUGUCGCCGCCAUUUGAGAAGCCCUUUUGGCGUUUAACUUCUCACGGAGAUCCUCGUGGGCAUGCUUUGCACGCCUCGUACCCUGGCUGCUGCGGGAAUUGCAAGAGGCGGUGGAACGCUCGUCUCGGGAGCCUACGGUUUGAAACUUAGAACGGGUACCCGAAGGCCUAUGCUUUGGUUUGCUGGCCUCGGGUACCCCUCUUCUGACCAUAGCUUGGUCGUCCGUUUGAGGUGGUGGAGCUUCUAGCGUCACUGGUGGAAGUGAACUUUCGGGUGCCCGAGAUCCGACCGCCCUAAGUAUUGCGUGGGCGAGAUCCUCAAAACGCUUGUGCGAAAUAGGUUCCUCCUCUUGGCGAACACCCGUCGAUAGCUUGAUACCCUUGCCCUUGUUAAUGCGGGCUACCCUUCUUGUGGGAUCACUACCUUCACUGCUGCUGUCAUCUAUCAUCCUUGUAGGAUCCCCCAUUAAACCUUCGGGAGGUACGUCAGGUGCCAUGUAUUGGAGUACACACAACAACUAGUUUGGUAACCGCGGAGGGUGCUUUUUGUGCGACUCCCCACAGACGGCGCCAAUUGUUUUCAACUGAUUUUGGGGUAGGAAAAGCCAAAAUCUAUCUUGAACAAUGAAUUUAUAUUUUUUAGGGAGAUGGGGUACCUCACUAGUUUGUUGUGUGCGGUGCGGUGUAUCUGAAAUUUGUGGGAGGUGAGAAGGGGAGAGAGAGUGGUAACAAUGGUGGAAGGUCAGAAACAAGAGAGGUGUCCUUCAAAAUGAGCUUCACGCCUGCAAAACAGUGAAAUAGAGGUUAGAGGUGAAGCUGGGGUACCCCGGCGUUCACACUCCGACGCUCAAGUUAGCAAACUCAAGCUUUUAUGGCAAAGAGAGCUAGCUAGCCCUCUGUAAAUUAGGGUUUUAAGGUUGAAGAAAACCUCUUUUUUGGAGUGUGAGUGUUAAUGGUGAGUGAGAGCCCCCUCUAGAAUGAAACCUAGGCACCUUUAUAUAUGGAGUACCUCAGCUGCCACGUGGCAUACCUUUUUUGGCUAACGUCCUUUUACCUCUUUAUAAUUGUUUUUGGGCCGUUAUUUGCAUGUUCGCGGCGUAUCUCAUCUUUUGGAAACGUGGCGCGCGCUGGAGAGUGGUCCAGGGUACCUCUGCAGUAGCUGUCGGGUAGGCGGUUAGGGACCACUGUCCUUGGGACAGUGUCCUUCACUUUUGCCAGAGGUAGCAGGCGACUGUCCCUCCUUUUAGCACGUCGCUUUUGAUUCCUAAUUCUGACAAAAUCAAAUGAUAUCUUUUAGGAGGCGGAGACGUUUCUCAUGGCGGGUAUUUUCGGUGGAUUCUCUUGCAUUCGCUUUUCCAGAUACCUCAAAUUACAUGGGGUACCCCUAUCUGUAUGGGGUACCUCUAUUUGUAUGGGGUACCUCAUAUUAUAUGGGGUACCUCUAUUUGUGUUGGAUACCUCUAAUUGUGCAUGGUACCUCUAUUUAUACGGGGUACUUCAAGUCAUGCCGGGCACUUCGGAUUAUGCAGGGUACCUCCGAUUGUGCUGAUAUCAUUCCAUUGGCUGACACGUGGCGCUCUAUUACCUUUCCUACUUUUCCCUCAAACACCAGCGUUUUGGUGGCUGCAGCCGCGGCGGUCAGCGUCUGUUUGGUGGCUGCAGUCGCAGCAACCAGCGUCGGUUUGGUGGCUACAGUCGCGACAAGUGGCGUUGGUUCGGUGGCUGCAGCUCUCCCCCCCCUUCGCGUCGGUUUGCUGCAGCUUCUCCGUUUUCUAUUUGCUUUUUUUUUUUACGCUCGUUCAUCUUCCCUUGGGCUUUAUUCUCCCUUUACUCUUUUUCUUUAUUUCCUUCUUCUUCCGUUUUCUUUCUUUACCAUUUUCUUUUCUUUCUUCCGUUUUCUUCUUUUCCUAUUUUCUUUCUUCCUUUUCUUUCUUUCUUCUUUCUCUUUCUCUCUCGGCCGGCGUUGAUCUGGUGCGUUUUUCGGCGUGGAUCUCGGCUGCUGCAGUGGCGGUUUUGGGCUCCAUAUCUGGUCGGUUUAAGGCAGUUUUUAGGCGGCUCACGGCGGGAUCUCGGUCCGGCGAUACACACGGUAACCCCCCUCCUUGUGUCUUCAUUUUAUCCUCGCUUUCUCUCUCUUCUUUCUCUUUUUCUUCUCUCUUUUUCUUCUUUCUUUUUCUUCUUUCUUUUUCUUCUUUCUUUUUCUUCUUUCUUUCUCGUUUCGGCCGGCGUUUUUCUUGGAGAUGUCCAGCGUUUUGGUGGCUGCAGCCGCGGCGGUCGGCGUCAGUUUGGUGGCUGCAGUCGCAACAACUGGUGUUGGUUCGGUGGCUGCAGCUCUCCCCCCCGCGUCGGUUUGCUGCAGCUUCUCUGUUUUCUAUUUGCCUUUUUUUUUUAUGCUCGUUCAUCUUCCCCUGGACUUUAUUCUCCCUUUACUCGUUUUCUUUUAUUUCCUUCUUCUUCCGUUUUCUUUCUUUACCAUUUUCUUUUCUUUCUUCCGUUUUCUUCUUUUCCUCUUUUCUUUCUUCCUUUUCUUUCUUUCUUCUUUCUCUUUCUCUCUCGGCCGGCGUUGAUCUGGUGCGUUUUUCGGCGUGGAUCUCGGCUGCUGCAGUGGCAGUUUUGGGCUCCAUAUCUGGUUGGUUUAAGGCAGUUUUUAGGCAGCUCACGGUGGGAUCUCGGUCCGGCGAUACACACGGUAACCCCCCUCCUUGUGUCUUCAUUUUAUCCUCGCUUUCUCUCUCUUCUUUCUCUUUUUUUUUCUCUCUUUUUCUUCUCUCUUUUUCUUCUUUCUUUUUCUUCUUUCUUUCUCGUUUCGGCCGGCGUUUUUCUUGGAGAUGUCCAGCGUUUUGGUGGUUGCAGCCGCGGCGGUCGGCGUCGGUUUGGUGGCUGCAGUCGUAACAACUGGUGUUAGUUCGGUGGCUGCAGCUCUCCCCCCCGCGUCGGUUUGCUGCAGCUUCUCCGUUUUCUAUUUGCUUUUUUUUUUACACUCGUUCAUCUUCCCCUGGGCUUUAUUCUCCCUUUACUCUUUUUCUUUUAUUUCCUUCUUCUUCCAUUUUCUUUCUUUCCCAUUUUCUUUUCUUUCUCCCUUUUCUUUCUUUCUUCUUUCUUCUUUCCCUAUUUUUUUUCUUCAUUUUCUUUCUUUCUUCUUUCUCUCUCUCUCGGUCGGAGUUGAUCUGGUGCGUUUUCCGGCGUGGAUCUCGGCUGCUGCAGUGGCAGUUUUGGGCUCCAUAUAUGAUCGGUUUAAGGCGGUUUUUAGGCGACUUACGGCGGGAUCUUGGUCCGGUGAUACACACGGUAACCCCCCUCCCUGUGUCUCAUUUUAUCCUCGCUUUCUCUCUCUUCUUUCUCUUUUUCUUCUUUCUUUUUCUUCUUUCUUUCUCGUUUCGACCGGCAUUUUUCUUGGAGAUUUCCAGCGUUUUGGUGGCUGCAGUCGCUGUAGUCGGCGUCAGUUUGGUGGCUGCAGUCGCGACAGCUGGCGUCGGUUCGGUGGCUGCAGCUCUUCGUUUUUUAUUUGCUUUUUUUUUUUGUUCUCAGCAGAGUUCUCCCUUGGUGGUUUCCGGCAUCCUUCUCGCGAUCUCUGGCGUCAGUUCUCAAUGGUUACAGCCAUGACAGCCGACGCCGAUUGCUGCAGCUUCUUCGUUCUUCAUUUUAUUUAUUUACUUAUUUAUAAAUAAUUACAUAUAUUUAAGCUUAUUUUUUAUUUUUAUACUUGCAUAUUUUUACCUACUGUUUUUGGUUGCUUGCAGCUUUGUCUCCCCAACGAUUAUCAAUCCCGAUCUGCCAAGUUGGUGAAUCACAGGUAUCCCUCUUCGUUACUCCUCCUUUGGCGCAUUUACAGUGGCACUAUUUUGCAUACUCUGAAAAAAAAAAUUAUUUUUGUUUUUAUUUAUUUAUUUUUUUUUUUUUGUGAUUGGUGUUUGCAUUUGGUGGUUGAUGUUUGGUGGGUGAUGUUUGGUAUGAAUAUGUUGUUGUUUGGGGAACUUGUGGCUUGAUGGAUGUGUUGUUGGGGAACUUGUGGCUUGUUGCUGAGGAACUUUGUGGCUUGUUGGAUGUAUUGUUGGGGGUUUGUGGAUGGGUUGUUGGGGACUUGUGGCCUGGUGGAUAUGUUGUUGGGGGAAGUAGAUCGGCAAGAAAUAUACGGGACCCGAGAGAAAGCGACAUGCAAUUGGGGUUAGGAAGGUUGACAGCCCUCAUGCGGGUUCUCCUUCCCACAUCUCCAUUAGCGAGGGGGAUAGGUCCCCCCCUAGUACCUCUAGGAGUUGCAACUCUCGUUCUAAGCUCCCUCCCCCUAGGAGUACCCCUCGUGUCAGCCCACGCUUUCUCAGUAAACGGCCAACCCCCCAUCCUCGAAAGAAUGGUAGGUCAUCCAAGCCUAAGGUUCCAACUCGUUCCUCAGACCAGCCUCCCAAAUCUCCCCUUGCCACACCUUCAAAAUCUGGUAACUUUUUUUCCCUAGGCACUAGGAGGGCUACUUUGGAGGAUUUAGAACAAAUUAGAGCCAAAUACAAUAUUCUUCCCUUUUGUUCAGCUUAGAGUACCCCAUGUGGAUAAGCGACCUGAGUGUCCAAAGUCUGAUGGGAUUGCUCUCCAUAUUGACCUCUUUGAUCUAGGACUCCGCCUGCCCCUCCAACCUUUCUAUAUGAGAAUGUUUAGUUAUUUGGGGGUAGCUCCUGGGCAGCUAUCCUUUCUGGGGUGGAGGACACUUACGGGCUUACAUGUGUUAUGGUUGGAGGUACUGAAGCGCGACAUUUCAAUUCGGGAGUUUAGGGGCCUUUAUCAAUUCAAAAAGCCUAAGGGCCCCGGUAUUGCUUACAUCUCCGCUUGGAGUGAGCAUGGCCAUAUUGUUGAGGGAAACCCCGCCUUAAAGAAGGGUUACCGAAAGGGAUGGCUUGUUGCUGAGGGUAGGUGGGGGACAGAGACUCUAGGUGAAAAGGGCAACCCCGUGGAGGUUCCAAAUUCCUUCAAUGUAGACUGUAAGUAUCUUCCUUGUUUAUGGUUCUUUAUUGUAAUCUUUCGCAUGAAUGUCUCGCUAACCUUGGGUUCUCCAUGCUUUUGCAGGUGUGACGUGGGCUAAAGGAUCAUGCCCACUUCAGGAGGUGGUGAAAGAGGUGAAGGAAUUUGUGGAGAGGCUCCGAGGUGCACAGAGGGGUAGUGAUGUGCUAGAGGAGAGCCGAUUAUGGAGAGCGGGGCUGAUCGAUCGAAGUCCUCCACCUGCUUCUGGGGGUGACUCAUGUAUGAUUUGGAUAUCGGGGGGUACCCUAUUAUUAUCUACGGGACUGGGAUACCCCGUUAUCAUCGCAUUCUUUAUUUGGUUUCCCCGCUUUUCAUUUCCUAUUUUUGCUUUUGUAGUACUUAAUACUUGUCCGGCUAACAUAACUUUUGUGCAUUGGGUGUAGUCAUGGAGUCGGCGGGUGACGCUUUUGAUACCUUUUUUCAAGCAGUAGUGGGUUGUGCUUCUGGAUCUCAGGAUUCGGCGGUACCCCAGAAAAGUUCCUGGCCGCCUCGAGCUCCCGGACCAAAGGAAAAAUCUCAGGGUACCUCCCACAGCGGGUCGAAGGGUACCCCUCGCUCGAAGAAGAGAAAAUUCGGGCUGGUUUCCGCUUUCCC
rnacentral:lncRNA from 1 species